GACGAACGCUGGCGGCGUGCUUAACACAUGCAAGUCGAACGGUGAAGCGCCUUCCUUUUUGGUGGGUGUGGAUGAGUGGCGAACGGGUGAGUAACACGUGAGUAACUUGCCCCCUUCUUCUGGAUAACCGCAUGAAAGUGUGGCUAAUACGGGAUAUUCUGGGUCUGUCGCAUGAUGGGUCUGGGAAAGAUAUUGUUUCGGUGGGGGAUGGGCUCGCGGCCUAUCAGCUUGUUGGUGGGGUGAUGGCCUACCAAGGCGGUGACGGGUAGCCGGCCUGAGAGGGUGGACGGUCACACUGGGGCUGAGACACGGCCCAGACUCCUACGGGAGGCAGCAGUGGGGAAUAUUGCACAAUGGGCGCAAGCCUGAUGCAGCGACGCCGCGUGAGGGAUGGAGGCCUGCGGGUUGUGAACCUCUUUCGCCAGUGAAGCAGGCCUGCCUCGUUUGUGGGUGGGUUGACGGUAGCUGGAUAAGAAGCGCCGGCUAACUACGUG
rnacentral:rRNA from 1 species